UAACCACCUAGCGGAGUUGUGUCAUCUUACCUGGCAGGUUUAGACGAUUCUGAGAUCUAACACUGUCUGGUAAUGAUGACAGGACUCCGCAAUAC
rnacentral:pre_miRNA from 1 species